CUUGCGAUUUUGAGUUAACAUAUGGUAGGAUUCAUGCAUUUUCUCACACCUGUUUUGUGGAAUUAACAUUGUGACGCAAGUCUUCAUCACAA
ensembl:ncRNA Y7A9D.64 ncRNA